ACUCUAUCCACCAAGGCUUGGAUAGAUAGGAAGAAAUCACCUAGUAUUUGCCUCCGCUGGGAUUUGAACCUAAGACAUGAUGGUUCUCACCCACUUUAUUGAUCACUAGGCCACACCCUUGGGUGCUUGAAGUUCCCUAACAUAUAGCUAUAUUAAUUGCUAAUUGUAAUUUGAAUACAAUAAUCAUCCUCCUUGCUGAUUUCAAAUUUAUUUCAUUAACUUUAGGUUCAUAACAAACCAAAUAGUUGUUAAGUAUUUAUUAAGAGACAUGCAUGUGACAAGACAACAACAUACCCAGUAUGAUCUCACACGUGGGCAUGCAUGUGACAAUACAACUCAAGAAUUGUGAUUUCAUAUACUACUUUGGUUUCAAAAAUAAUGAACCUUUUUUUCUUUUUAGUCAGUUAAAAAAAAGUGACCCAUUUCUAAAUUUGGAAAGAAUGUAACUUUAAACUUCUUAUUUUACCCAUAAUGAGAUGAUUUAUAGUCACGCAAAUAUCUAUAGAUUUUUUUGGACCGCAAAUUUCAAAAGUUUUCUCUUUAAUUAAACUCCGCGCACAGUCAAAUAAGUUCAAACAAAUUAAAACGGAGGGGGUAAUACUUUUACAAAUAAUAGCAUUGUUGCUAACACUCUCUUCAAUGUUUGAAUGUUCACCCAAAUAUAAUGUCUAUCAAGGAAAAUAUUGGCUCCAAAUAUAAAGUAAACAGUGUUAAUACUAUAAUAUGUUUUAAUGAAGACAAAAUGAUUAGUUUUGAUCAGGGGCGGAUUUAGGGGUGGAAGGGGAAAAAUUACAAUGUAUAUAUAAGGCAAAAUCUGUUUUUUACCUUUAUAUAUUAAGUUUUGAACCCUCUUGACACAACCCAAAAGUAUAACCUAGUGGUCAAAGGGGUUCAAAAUCUUUGAAAUGCCAUAGGUUCAAUUCCCAUUAGGUUCAACUCCGCCACUGGUUUUGAUACUGAUUAGUAUAAAUUAUCCUUGCAGGAGAAAUUAGUCAAUUGAUUAGGCAGCCCACAAGUGUCAAGAAGUCCAUGAAGAUCAUAAGAAGAGGAAGCUUCCCAGCCCAAAACCAGUCAAGACUCGAAGCAAAUUCAGAAUAUUUAAAUCAAAGUCUGGUUGAUUCAAAUGAAGCAAAGAAUAAUUACCAAAGUCAGUUGAGAUUAUUGAAGUCACUUCAAGUAUCAAACUGAGUGUAUUUAACUCCCUCGUUUCACUCGUAAAAUUGGUUCCAAGUUCCAACAUUCUCCAUUAGGGCUAAUCAAGUCAAUUCCCUCAUUAAUGUAAGGAGCGGGCUCAUUCAAAUCAUUGAAGAUAUUGGGGAAAGGCCACAACGUCUAGCUUUUCCUUGCCUAUAGUAUUCUCUUUUAUUUUCUAUUAAGCACUAUAAUCUUGUAUAGUGAUUGUAUCAAAAAACAAAAGAGAAAGGUGAGAGUGAGUUGGGUAUGGAAGCCAAAAGGAAGCAAAUGUAGUUGUAGAAAGAAAGAACAGAUUAUUACAAGACAUGGCGAGAACUAUGUUUGUAGAAAGUUCUAUCCCAACCUAAUUUUGGGCUGAAUCUGUAAGUACGACUUGACACAUUUUAAAUCGAUGUUUAAUCAUACUAAUUCUUAAGAAAACUCCAUAUGAGUUAUGAAAAGGAAAGAAGUCAAAUGUCAGCUACUUUCAUCGCCUUUGUUAGCAAGUAUUUCAUACUCAACAACGGUAAGAACAAUCUCGGAAAGCUUGAUCCAAGAAGUGAUGAAGGAAUAUUUAUGGAUUUCUCCAUAUCUAGCAGAUCAUACAGAUUAUUCAACAAAAGAACCUUACAUGUGGAGGAAUCAGUUCAUAUUGUUGCAGUUUCUUUCCAAAAGACAAUAACAUAACUGUUGAUGAACUAGAUAUACUUGCUCCUCAAAAUAUUAAUACUCCUGAUCAAGAAGAAAAUGAAGUUGAGAAUUGUAUCGACCCAAUUAGUUGUUUUGAGUUUUAGCACUCCGUUUUGUGAUCCAAGACUUGAGUAGCUUCAUUUGAUGUUUUAUGGCGUGUGUGGUUGAUUUUAAUUUCAAGAAGUCCGGGUGUAUUUUAAAAGAAGAAUUCUCUUUUUAGAAACCUAAGUUGCUAUAGUUGACUAAGGUCAACAUUCUUAGUAAAUAAUCCCGAAUUGAUAUUUUGAUGGUUCCUUUAGUUUCGUAUGAUUUGAUCUUGUAUUAUGUUUGGUUUGGGCCUCGGUGACCUGUGGUCAUUUCGGCACUUCUCGUCGAAGUUGUUUUUUAUGUUAUGAUCUCUCGAGCAAGUUUGAAUAGACUACAUUGACUAGUUAGGAUAAUUGGAGCGGCUCGGGUGAGUUUCGGAUUGUUUUUCGAAUAUUUUUGCACUCAUCGCAGCAAUAUUCUUCUGCUGGUAUGCAGUGCUUCGCGAUCGCGGAGGAGGUCUCGCAAUCACAUAGGGUGUUUGGGCUCAUCAGGAAAUUACCCUACGCCAACGCUGAAGGUUUGGGGAAAUGACCUUUAUGAACUCGAAGGCUUCCAGCACUGACCUUCGCGAAUGCGACAAGGGUGUCGCAAACACGAUGCACCUCGAGCCCAGGGGUAUAAAUAGUGUUAAAAAUUCGGAUUUAGCCAUUUUCACCAUUUUUGAGACCUAGACCAUGGAUUGGGGCGAUUUAUUAGAGGAAUUUUACCUCAACUUCAAAGGUUAGUAAUUUUAACUAAGUUUUGACUUAUUAUCAUAAUUCCCCAUAGAUUUAACCCCUAUAGCAAGCAUUUUAAAGUGUAGAUAAUGAGUUUUUGGAUCUGAACUUAAGAGAGUGAAUUUUGAAAUUUGGGACCUUAAUUUGAGGUUGGAUGUUGAAUCUAAUUACAUAUUUGGAUUCGGGGAUGAAUGAGUAAUUGAGAAUCAGUCCCGUUUUUUGGAUUUGGACCAAGUGUGCCAGGGUUGACUUUUUGUUGACUAUUGAGAAUUCACCAAAGAUUGAAGCUUUAUUGAUUGGCGUAUUUUCUUUAGCAUUAUUUGACUUUCUUAGACCGUAUUUGGAUAGGUUUUGGUUGUUUGAUUGAGGAUUUUAAAGGAAAAGCAGUAUUUGAGGGUUAAAGCUUUAUCGGCAGAAGGUAAGUCUCUUGUUUAACCUUGUAAGAGAGAAUUUUUCCCCUAAGUGACUUAUGUGCUAUGUGUUAUUUGUAUUGGAGGCUACGUAUAUGCGAGGCAACAAGAGUAUAUACUUGUGCUUGUAUUUUUUUACCAUGUCCGGGUAGCUUAAGCCUUUAAUAUGCCUUGUUUGGAUCAAAUGAGUUACUUUCACAUGCUUCUUUGGCUUCCAGGGCUACUUGGCUAUUUUUAUUCAAGUUAAAGACCAUGAUUAGAAGUAUAAUUAUGUAAUGAGUAUUUUGGGCUUUUGAGAUAUGUUGUUUUACAUGAUUAGCCGUAGAUAUCUCUUAUUCUUGUAAAAAUUUAUCUGCAAUCUCUAUUUUAUUGUCAUGGUGUAACUUAUUAUAUUAUCUCAUGUGCAUACACUUAAGUUGGAAGUUGGAUAUUGUAGAGAGAUUUGAGGACUUUUGACCCUAUGGACACUAUGAGCGGAUAUAAAUUAUUGCUUGCGAUCUACUUGAUUGGAUCGACGCUCGGAUUUGGAUCCAUCCCUUCGGAAUCAGAUUCUGAGGCAGGGGCUAGCGCUACUCACCCAGCUGUGUAGGCUUGUUUGUUGGAGACUUCAUGGAUCUCUUCGGUGGACAGGUGAAGAAAUAGGUAGAGAGGAAGAUGGUUUUUAUGUCUUCAACUCCAACUCAGGAAAUGAAGGUGGAUUACAAGUAUCAGGUGUAGAAGUCAAGAGUUCAAUUUCAAGAUUAAUGCAUAACUUUAAAUACAAUAAAAGUUCGUAGAGUAAUAAAUGUAGCUUUAUGGAAGAGGAGGUUAGGACAUGUUCCUUUAGAUACUAUGAAGAAACUAAACGACUUUCAAACUGUUGGAUGUAAUGAUGUUGCCAAGCAUUGUAUUGUCUGUCCAUUGGCUAAACAAAGCAGAUUGCCUUUUCCUUUGAGUACUAUAGUUUCUGGUUCUUGUUUUUAUAUAAUUCACGGUGAAGUGUGGGGUCCUUACAGAGUUCCUACUUAUGAUGGAAAGAGAUAUUUUCCGACUUUGGUAAAUGAUCAUUCCUGAUAUACAUGGGUCUUUCUUUUGCCUACUAAGGCUGAAGUGAUUGUUUCUCUUAAAUCUUUCUUUUUCAUGGUUAAGAAUGUUUAUCCUUCUUCAUUUUAAAAAAAAGAAUGUUUAUCCUUCUUCUGUGAAAUAUUUAAGGUCUGCAAUAGGUGUGAAAUUUAUAUCUCAUAAAUGACUAAGUUACUGCAGACGCUAGGCAUUGUUCAUCAAAGUUCUCGUGUGAACACUUCACAACAGAAUGGAGUAGCUGAGAGAAAACACAUGUAUAUAUUGGAGGUGGCAAGAGCACUCAGGCUCCAAGCUGCAGAUCCAUUAAAAUUCUGGGAAGAAUGUGUCAUCACUGUUGUGUAUAUCAUCAAUAGACUUCCAUACAAUAUACUUAAAAGCAAAUAUCUAUUUGAGGUUAUGUUUAGUCAUUCAUCUUCUUUGAAUCAGAUGAAGGUUUUUGGUUGUUUGGGGUAUGUGAUUGAGGUUAUGAAGGCAUACAAAUUCUCUCCAAGAGUUGCAGUCUUUCUUCGGUAUUCUGUUACUCAAAAAGGUUACAAAAUGUUUGGAGUUGAUUCCAAAGAGUUUAUAGUUAGCAGGGAUGUAAUGUUCAAGGAAAAUGUUCAAGAAUCUUAGCACAACAGAUUCUUCUUUAUUUCUUGUUUUGGAUUUUGUAUAUGUUCUUCAUUCAGGAGAUGCAAGGCACAGUCCUAUCUAGUCCCUUGAAGUUCAUCCUACUGACAUUCCUAAUACUAAUGAUGUUCUUGUGUCUGCUCCAUCUAAUGAUGAUCCAGGUGUUCCUAUGAUUGCAGAUUCAGCAAUUCCAAUUGCAUCUACAUAUCCUCCCAAUGAAAGCAGAAAAUCAAGUAGAGCUACUAUACCUCCCAUCUGGACGAAUGACUAAAUUACUCCUGCUCAUUGUUGCUAUCCUAUCUCAGACUGUGUGAGCUAUGCAAAUGUGUCCCCCCAGUAUGGCACUACACUAGCCACCUACUCAGCUAUAGUUGAACCAACUUCCUAUACUAAAGCAGUCAAAGAUGCCAAAUGGAUUGAAGCAAUGGAGGCUGAGAUCUCUGCACUGGAGAAAAAUAACACAUGGAGCAUUAUAGAACUUCCUCUAGGGAAGGUUGCUAUAGGCUGCAACUGGGUGCUCAAGGUUAAGUACAUGGCCUCAGAGGCUGUGGAGUGAUAUAAAGCUAGGCUUAUAGCUAAAGGUUACAACCAACAGGAGGGACGAGACUACACUGAAACCUAUUUCCCUAUGGCCAAGAUGGUCACAGUAAGGUCAGUGUUAGCAAUAGCAACAACCAAGAAUUAUUGCAUCUUUCAAGUGGAUGUACACAAUGUUUUCCUUCAAGGAGAUCUCCUAGAGGAAGUAUACAUGGAUAUUUCACAAGGAUUUGUUAGCCAGGGAAGGAAGCAGAGAGUCAAAACUAUACAAGUCCUUAUAUGGACUCAAGCAAGCUCCCAUGCAGUGGAAUAAGAAUCUAACAGAUGCUUUGUUACAACUUGGAUUCACUCAAAGUCACUUCGACUAUUCACUCUUUACAAAGGAGGUGCAGGCUGAAUUGGUCGCGGUGCUAGUGUAUGUUGAUGAUCUCUUAAUAACAGGCAGUGAUUCUGGUUUGAUCAUGAAGACCAGAAAUGAUCUGAAGCACAAGUUCAAAAUGAAAGAUCUGGAAGAACUUAAGUUCUUUUUGGGAAUAGGAUUUGCUAGAUCAAGAAAUGGAAUUGUAAUUAACCAGAGAAAUUAUGCACUAGAACUGAUGGCAGAAAUGGGACUUAGUAGUGCUAAACCAGCUGGUACACCUCUGGAAACUAAUGUGAAGUUGACAUCUGUUGAAUAUGACAACUUCAUCAGCAGGAACUCAUCUGAAGCAUAGCUUUUUCUAUCUGAAUGGAGAUAUAUUAUAUGGGGGGUGGCUAGCUAGGUUGAAGGAAGAGAGAAAGAGAAUGCAUUAAUAUGGGUCAAAACUAAUCCUUAAUCUGUAGGUGUGCGUUUAUGUUGAAAAAUACUACUAUAACAUUAAAUAAAUAUGUUAUUUUUGAAAUAAAUCAGAAGUGAUGAUACGUUCAAUAAUAGUCUUAAUUAAGUGUUGUAGCAUGUAAAAAUCUCUUUUCUUCUCUCUCUUUCAGGUGAAACAUAUACUCAAAAAAGUGGAAAAGGAAAAAACAAA